AUCCCUUUCUUCCUGUCAACUCCCAGAAUCUUGGCACCCCUGGUCCAGCUCUGUCCCACUCUCGAGGUCCCAGCCAUCCCCUGGACCUGGGGACCUCCUCUCCUAACACCUCUCAGAUACACUGGACCCCGUACCGGGCGAUGUACCAGUACAGGCCCCAGAACGAAGACGAGCUGGAGCUGCGCGAGGGGGACAGGGUGGACGUCAUGCAGCAGUGUGACGAUGGCUGGUUUGUGGGUGUCUCCCGGAGGACCCGGAAAUUCGGAACGUUCCCUGGAAAUUACGUUGCCCCGGUGUGAGUGGUCUCCAUGGCAACUUGGAGCCAGCCAGGAUGGGGUGGGGAGCGGUGGCACUCGUGGGAGGGAGAGGACCCCCGCCCACCUCCUCCUUCCCCAGGACCUGAGCUCCCAGCAUCUGCAGACGACCCCCGCAGCCUUUCCCUCGGACCCCCCUCGAAGCCCCCUGGACUGAUUCCCACCCACGACUCACAGGCAUUCCUCCCACAGCCCUUUCAUUUCCUCCCCACCCCACUCCCCAAAUACAGAGGUCUGCUUUGAAGCAGAGACCAUUUCCAGG
rnacentral:sRNA from 1 species